GUAGGUGGCAAGCGUUGUCCGGAAUUAUUGGGCGUAAAGCGCGCGCAGGCGGUUCUUUAAGUCUGAUGUGAAAGCCCACGGCUCAACCGUGGAGGGUCAUUGGAAACUGGAGAACUUGAGUACAGAAGAGGAAAGCGGAAUUCCACGUGUAGCGGUGAAAUGCGUAGAGAUGUGGAGGAACACCAGUGGCGAAGGCGGCUUUCUGGUCUGUAACUGACGCUGAGGCGCGAAAGCGUGGGGAGCAAACAGGGAUUAGAUACCCUGGUAGUCCACGCCGUAAACGAUGAGUGCUAAGUGUUAGGGGGUUCCCGCCCCCUUAGUGCUGCAGCUAACGCAUUAAGCACUCCGCCUGGGGAGUACGGCCGCAAGGCUG
rnacentral:rRNA from 1 species